CACAUGCAAGUCGAACGCUGAAGCUCCCAGCUUGCUGGGGGUGGAUGAGUGGCGAACGGGUGAGUACCACGUGAGUAACCUGCCCUUGACUCUGGGAUAAGCCCGGGAAACUGGGUCUAAUACUGGAUAGGACUGGCCAUCGCAUGGUGGUUGGUUGAAAGCUUUUUGCGGUUUUGGAUGGACUCGCGGCCUAUCAGCUUGUUGGUGGGGUAAUGGCCUACCAAGGCUUUGACGGGUAGCCGGCCUGAGAGGGUGACCGGCCACACUGGGACUGAGACACGGCCCAGACUCCUACGGGAGGCAGCAGUGGGGGAUAUUGCACAAUGGGCGCAAGCCUGAAUGCAGCGACGCCGCGUGAGGGAUGACGGCCUUCGGGUUGUAAACCUCUUUCAGUUGGGAAGAAGCCUUUCGGGGUGACGGUACCUUCAGAAGAAGCACCGGCUAACUACGUGCCAGCAGCGGC
rnacentral:rRNA from 1 species